GCGGCCAGGGCAACCAAUGGCAACGCGUCGCCGGGGGGAGAUUUUCGCUCCGGCCUGGGCGGUGCCUAUCCUGAUUGGCUGAGCCUCGGCGACCGGUGGACCGCCGGCAAUGGCGGGGUUUUCGGUUUUCAAACUCGCCAGGCGGGCGGGAAAGACAAGCCGGUUUAACUGACCCGCGGGAGAAAGAGCCUUCACAUAUGCUGUCCCCUCUGCCUGGGACAUUCUUGCCAUUCAGGCCUCAGCUCCAAUAUCACCUCCUCAGUGAAGCCACCACCAUCCCUCCUGCCCCCUUGAGUAUCAAGCUCCCGGCCCUACCUUGCCCUUGACGUCGAGGAUGAAGACAGCCGAGGCGGACAUUGUGGCGGCCGGCGGACCUGGGAGGCGGGGAGGGAGCGCCGGGAGGCGACGGCGGCGCCGCUUCCUUCUUCCUGCGGAAGCGCCGGCGCGCAGGUGAGCGCCCAGGCCCUGCCCUCCAUGUCCUCUAUGUGGGAAUCCUCCUAGCAACAAUUAGAAACAAUGCCUUGAGUUCUGGAGGCCUAUUCCAUUCCACAGAUGGGAAAGCUGAGGCACCUACCCGCGCAGGAUACAACGCCUGCCCCUUUGUGCUUUCUCAGCCUCUUUCUCAAGCAGCAAGGUCUCCUCUUCGAGGAGUCCUCUCUGACCUUCCAAUCCAUGUCUAGGUCACGUCUGUUCUCCGGGCUCUCUCAAAUGUCCCAUGCUUCCCUGUCACAGCUGUGUUGCACCGUGCUUUUAAAAAUCUAUUUAAAAAAAAAAAAAAAAAACCCUUUUAUUAUCA